AGAUGGCGACCGGCGCACGGGUGAGUAACACGUAUCCAACCUGCCGAUAACUCGGGGAUAGCCUUUCGAAAGAAAGAUUAAUACCCGAUGGCAUAAUAGAACCGCAUGGUUUGAUUAUUAAAGAAUUUCGGUCAUCGAUGGGGAUGCGUUCCAUUAGGUUGUUGGCGGGGUAACGGCCCACCAAGCCUUCGAUGGAUAGGGGUUCUGAGAGGAAGGUCCCCCACAUUGGAACUGAGACACGGUCCAAACUCCUACGGGAGGCAGCAUG
rnacentral:rRNA from 1 species